CGUGGGUAACCUACCCGUCAGAGGGGGAUAACACUUGGAAACAGGUGCUAAUACCGCAUAACAGUUUAUGCCGCAUGGCAUAAGAGUGAAAGGCGCUUUCGGGUGUCGCUGAUGGAUGGACCCGCGGUGCAUUAGCUAGUUGGUGAGGUAACGGCUCACCAAGGCCACGAUGCAUAGCCGACCUGAGAGGGUGAUCGGCCACACUGGGACUGAGACACGGCCCAG
rnacentral:rRNA from 1 species